rnacentral:rRNA from 1 species
CAGAGGUGGCAAGCGUUGUUCGGAAUUACUGGGCGUAAAGGGCGCGUAGGCGGCCUUCUAAGUCAGACGUGAAAUCCCCAGGCUUAACUUGGGAACUGCGUCUGAUACUGGGAGGCUCGAAUGCGGGAGAGGGAUGUGGAAUUCCAGGUGUAGCGGUGAAAUGCGUAGAUAUCUGGAGGAACACCGGUGGCGAAGGCGGCAUCCUGGACCGACAUUGACGCUGAGGCGCGAAAGCCAGGGGAGCAAACGGGAUUAGAUACCCCGGUAGUCCUGGCCCUAAACGAUGAGUGCUUGGUGUGGCGGGUAUCGAUCCCUGCCGUGCCGAAGCUAACGCAUUAAGCACUCCGCCUGGGGAGUACGGUCGCAAGGCUG